ACUGCCGCCGUUAAAAAAAAGAAGAUUUGACUAAAACCUUGCUAUUGCUAGAGCACAUCAUGGUAACGAAGAUUAAGCCUUUCGCUGUAUUACAAUUGGCAGCGAAUUUCAAGAAAACCUUCAAAUCAUCUAACAAAAAAAAAAUGAACAUACGAGAGAUGAACAAAUAUUUGCAAAUGAUUAUAACACAAACACUGGCGAAAACCAGCUGAGAUAGAACCUGUCAUUGCCGAAGUUGGCAAGGUGUGGAGAACAACGAACGCGCAGCGUGCGGGGAGGGGCUUACCAGCACCACCCAACAACAGGCAUGUGGAACUAUAGAAGAGAAGAAAAAAAUAAGCGAGCGAUAAGUGCGCGGCUCUUAACUCAUCUGUUUCGCGAAUUUUUUUUUCACGCUACUGUUCUUCUUUUUCGUAUUUUAUUUGCUCGCCAGCUCUAACUUCGUGGACUUGCGAAACCUUGGUGGAUUUUUUUUACCCGAAAUUGGUCUGCGUUCGAAGCUUGCGAAAUAUACGAUCAUCACCAUCAUCAUCACCUCCCGUUGUCAACGGCUUCGUCGCCCUCUACCGUGUCGUCGGCUGCUAUUUGUAUGAGUUUUUUUGGUUUGCUCCAUUUGACCGACCCUCACCGUCACUUGAAUCCAUUACGCAAAAAAAAACUGCAAGAAAACUCGCCCUGAACCAAAAAAAAUGUGGGUUUCAUAUUGGUUGACGAUUAAAUGAUAAACUACUCCAAGUUUGAUACUGUUUUGCUUCUCUGCAAACAAUAAACAUGGCUAAGUUCUGUUUUUCUCAAAUCAUGUGGAUCCACCUUGAGCAGAAGAAAAGAACAUCUGCAGCGGCGAGUAAUAGUUAUCAGUUUUCAUUUUAUUGUUUUGCGAUGAAAAGUUAUUCAGACGGCAAAUAUGAGUCAACUUUUCCCGCUUUGUGAGGAACCAAGGCAUCCAGUGUGUAAUGGCAAGUGAAAAAAGCAACCGAACUUCCCUAGAACAAUGAUCGAUAGUUUUCCGUUCCCGCUGUGGAUAUCCUCGUUCCGAGGCAAAGCAGCAAUACUUUGCCAAUCGUCGGGUUGCAUGGCAACUACCAAACUUUUGUGCGAUGAUGUCAAACCGGACAGAGUCACUGGCGCCGAUGGAUGAGAACAUUUAACUUUCGAUAUUACACUGUCAAUCGGAAACGCUUUGAAUUGUUCAGGAGUAUCCGUUGAGAAAACGAAAAUGG